rnacentral:rRNA from 1 species
UACGUAGGGUGCGAGCGUUGUCCGGAAUUAUUGGGCGUAAAGAGCUCGUAGGCGGUCCGUCGCGUCGAAUGUGAAAACCCGGGGCUCAACCCCGGGCCUGCAUUCGAUACGGGCGGACUAGAGUUCGGUAGGGGAGACUGGAAUUCCUGGUGUAGCGGUGAAAUGCGCAGAUAUCAGGAGGAACACCGGUGGCGAAGGCGGGUCUCUGGGCCGAUACUGACGCUGAGGAGCGAAAGCGUGGGGAGCGAACAGG